UUUCCAAAAUGCUGGUGCUUC
ensembl:piRNA 21ur-3426 ncRNA